UACGAAGGGGGCUAGCGUUGUUCGGAAUCACUGGGCAUAAAGGGCGCGUAGGCGGCUUUUCAAGUCAGGGGUGAAAUCCGGCAGCUUAACUGUCGAAGUGCCUUUGAUACUGGGAAGCUCGAGGGAGGUAGGGGUGUGUGGAACUUCCGGUGGAGCGGUGAAAUGCGUUGAUAUCGGAAGGAACGCCGGUGGCGAAAGCGACGCACUGGACCUCUUCUGACGCUGAGGCGCGAAAGCCAGGGGAGCAAACGGG
rnacentral:rRNA from 1 species